ensembl:snoRNA small nucleolar RNA SNORD47
AACCAGUGAUGAAAGAUUCUGCCAAAUGAUUACUCAUGAUUCUAACCUUUACCGUUCCAUUUUAUUCUGAGGAA